rnacentral:tRNA from 1 species
AUUCACAUAGUUGAACGACAACAGCAGCCUUUCACGCCGCAGGUUUGGGUUAGACCCCCAAUGAGAAUU